GGGGGCGUAAAGGUUUCGACGGGGACUUUGCACCAUGAUUAGCGAGUAGUGUGGGCGAAAACACUUUAAAAGUCGCAACCUAAAUUUUAAACGCAGACGAAAAUUCUGUUUUAGCAGCUGCCUAAGGCAGCCGCCGUCGGUUAUUGAAGUACCACGGUCUUUAAUCGGCGUCACUUAGUGGUGAACGCAUUCGGUCUACGCCUUUAAGCCGUUUGUGUAACAAAGGCUACUAAUUGGCAUAGCUUGUUUGUCAGCGAUGCCAUGCAGGAAUUUUAAACGGCAAACUGCACUCGGAGAAGGUUAUGGGAAUAGGUUUUCGGACAGGAGUUCGAUUCUCCUCGCCUCCACCA
rnacentral:tmRNA from 1 species